UACGUAGGGUGCAAGCGUUAAUCGGACUUACAGGGCGUAAAGCGUACGCAGGCGGCUAUGCAAGACAGGUGUGAAAUCCCCGGGCUCAACCUGGGAACUGCAUUUGUGACUGCAUGGCUAGAGUUUGUCAGAGGGGGGUGGAAUUCCACGUGUAGCAGUGAAAUGCGUAGAGAUGUGGAGGAACACCGAUGGCGAAGGCAGCCCCCUGGGAUGUGACUGACGCUCAUGUACGAAAGCGUGGGGAGCAAACGGG
rnacentral:rRNA from 1 species